UGAACGCUAGCGACAGGCCUAACACAUGCAAGUCGAGGGGCAGCACAAGGAGCAAUCUGAGGUGGCGACCGGCGCACGGGUGAGUAACACGUAUGCAACCUGCCUGUAAGCGGGGAAUAACCCGUUGAAAGACGGACUAAUACCGCAUAAUACUAAAUUACUGCAUGGUAAUUUAUUUAAACAUUUAUGGCUUACAGAUGGGCAUGCGCAUGAUUAGCUAGUUGGAGAGGUAACGGCUCCCCAAGGCAACGAUCAUUAGGGGUUCUGAGAGGAAGGUCCCCCCACACUGGUACUGAGACACGGACCAGACUCCUACGGGAGGCAGCAGUGAGGAAUAUUGGUCAAUGGACGAGAGUCUGAACCAGCCAAGUCGCGUGCAGGAAGAAUGUCCUAUGGAUUGUAAACUGCUUUUGCAGGGGAAUAAAGUGCAUCACGUGUGAUGUUUUGUAUGUACUCUGCGAAUAAGGAUCGGCUAACUCCGUGCCAGCCGCGGC
rnacentral:rRNA from 1 species